AACGAACGCUGGCGGCAUGCCUAACACAUGCAAGUCGAACGAGACCUUCGGGUCUAGUGGCGCACGGGUGCGUAACGCGUGGGAACCUGCCCUUAGGUUCGGAAUAACUCCCCGAAAGGGGUGCUAAUACCGGAUAAUGUCUUCGGACCAAAGAUUUAUCGCCUUUGGAUGGGCCCGCGUUGGAUUAGCUAGUUGGUAGGGUAAAAGCCUACCAAGGCGACGAUCCAUAGCUGGUCUGAGAGGAUGAUCAGCCACACUGGGACUGAGACACGGCCCAGACUCCUACGGGAGGCAGCAGUGGGGAAUAUUCGACAAUGGGCGAAAGCCUGAUCCAGCAAUGCCGCGUGAGUGAUGAAGGCCUUAGGGUUGUAAAGCUCUUUUACCCGGGAUGAUAAUGACAGUACCGGGAGAAUAAGCGCCGGCUAACUCCGUG
rnacentral:rRNA from 1 species